GAUUUUUGAACUGGUCAUUGUGGUUUUGCACGGAGUUAAUUUUUAUUUAUGAAAUGUUCAAAACAAACAUUGAGUGGAACAAAUUGCAAUUACAAUGGAGCAUAAACAAUAGACAUACAAGUCAUUUGACAUGCUUCGUAACUUAAAUAAAAGGGUCAACCUAACGAUGAAGAUGUCAGAGUAAUUCAAGAGGAAGAAGUUGCAUCGAUCGAAAGGCUGGAGGAAGUUCGCUUAGAAGAAUUGAGAGGCCGCUCCUGUCCCAACGUCAAAAAUAACUCCGUCUUCAGUUAUGUCAACAGCUCUUGAAUGAUCUUAAGCACAACAGCAGCUGGGUAUUUUUUCUAUGAUGAAGAGACCUUUACCGUUGACUGCGUCUACAACAAGCAAAAUGAUUGGGGUGUAUGCUUUUGGAAAAGUUAACAACAGCAUUAGGACAGUCACCCAGACCAAACAUCCGGCCUGUUUCAUGAUGUUAGGAGUUGUGACAUCAACUGUAGAAAAAAUACCUCCAAUUUGGUUUCCUGUUGGAUACCGGUUACCCGUGGGCGACUUAUUGAUGGCAUUGAAGGAAAAUGUGGUCCCAUCGAUUACAAAGACAAUAAUGAAGUCCAACAAGGUCGCAUACGUAUUUGAGCACGACGAAGCUCUGUGCCCAUACUGCUAAUAUUGCACAAGAGUUGAUGGGUAGCAACAUGAACUUCUUGUCCUUCUUUGGCCCCUUCAGAGCCCAGAUCCGAAUCCACUGGAUUACACCAUGUGGUUGCAAAUUGAGAAGAAGGCCUGCAAAGCUCACCUCCUAAAUAUUGAUGCCCUGAAGACCUCCGUUAACUGGAAGUGGAGGAUCAUGAAAAAGGACUAAGCAGCUAAUGUGUGCAAGGGUUCUGGAUGCAGUUGGAGGCUGUCAUUGAGGCUGAUGGUGGCCAGAUUCAUAAUUAAUGUGUAUUGUUAUAGUAAAAAAAUAUUAGAAAAUAAAAUUUUUUAUGUACUAAAUCAUCCUGAUCAA
rnacentral:lncRNA from 1 species